CGUUGGUUCAAACUUGUGACAGAAAAGUGGAGUUGGUCUGUUGUUCGUAAUUGCUCUAUCAGCUGGAGUGCUAGUUAUCCAAGUGUGAAUCAGAUUUUUGCUUAAGCUUCUCACCUUGUUUAUAAUGGAAGACAGCAGCCAGCAGAUCACGAACAGUUCAUCGCCAAAGCUUGUCCUGUAUUCUUUCUGGCAGAGCUCCUGUGCGUGGCGUAUCCGCUUUGCUUUAAACCUCAAAGGGCUUGCUUAUGAGUACAAAGCAGUGAACCUUGCUAAAGGAGAGCAGUUCUCUCCAGAGUUUGAACAAUUAAAUCCUCUCCAUUAUGUUCCGGUUUUGGUUGACGGUGAUGUGGUAGUCUCAGACUCUUAUGCUAUAUUUCUGUAUUUGGAAGAAAAGUAUCCUCAAAAGGCAUUAUUGCCAGAAGAUCCUCAGCGAAGAGCUCUGAAUAUGCAGGCUGCCAGUAUAGUCAGCUCCAGCAUACAACCUCUUCACAUGGUGUCUGUAUUGAAAGUAGUUGAAGAAAAAGUUGGUCCUGAAGAGCCAUUAUUAUGGGCUCAGUCUAGCAUUGAAAAAGGCUUUGCUGCUCUUGAGAAGUUGUUGAAAGAUGUUGCCAGCAGAUAUGCCACUGGAGAAGCAGUGUAUAUGGCUGAUGUGUUUCUGGCCCCACAAAUAGCUGUGGCUAUGAUGAGAUUCAAACUUGAUAUGUCCAAAUUCCCUACUUUAGGUAGGAUAUACGAGUCAUGCAAGGCCUUGCCGGAGUUCAUAGCUGCACUCCCACAAUCACAACCUGAUGCAGUGCAUUAACUCUGGUGUUGAAGCUUCACUCACAAGCAAUACCUAAUGCAGUGCUUUAGAUCUGGUUUCCAACACUUGUUAUCAUAUGUCAGGCAAACGAAAUGCUUCCUUGCAAAAUGCUUGGAAGCUAGCAAAUCUGGCACACGCGGAGGCAAGCUUAAACAUAAGAAAAAAAAUCCUUGAAGAUAUAGCUGCCAGGAGAACCGGUAACAACAAAAGAUGUCAAGUUCUUGCUCUGUGCAAAAAUCACAGAAAAGCUCUAAAUUCAUCUCUUGGUUAAAUUGAAGAGUUGGACACAUAUAUAUUUAUAUAGGUUGAGUUUCUGAUGCAAGCUUUGGGAAAUGUAAUCGGAUCGGAUGAGGUCCUCUGUGUAAUAAUAACCCACUCCGGGUGAUAUUUUAUUCAGA